rnacentral:rRNA from 1 species
UACGUAGGGUGCGAGCGUUAAUCGGAAUUACUGGGCGUAAAGCGUGCGCAGGCGGUUUUGUAAGCCAGAUGUGAAAGCCCCGGGCUUAACCUGGGAAUGGCAUUUGGGACUGCAAGGCUUGAGUGCGGCAGAGGAGACUGGAAUUCCCGGUGUAGCAGUGAAAUGCGUAGAUAUCGGGAGGAAUACCGAUGGCGAAGGCAGGUCUCUGGGCUGACGCUGACGCUCAUGCACGAAAGCGUGGGGAGCAAACAGG